rnacentral:rRNA from 1 species
AUGAACCGUAUCAGAACAAAUCAUUGGCAUUGCAGCUUCAGGGACAUGUAUGAUGCAUAUCCCAUCACUGAACAAGAUUGGAUUUUAGUGUAUACAAGCCAUCCUACUCGCUGCCUCCUCAGCUACUCAGAUAGUUAUUCCUUCUCAUUAUCAGUGAUGGACUCGUCGAGAUCGAGGGCACCAACGACAUAUGCCGAGGGCGUCCAUCGACAACCUGCCCAAUGUCCGGAUUCACCGAGUACAACUAGAGACACUAUUGGUUGCCUGCAGGCCUGUGAGUUGAGUUGCUGCUUGGUUGGAGAUGUUGAUGUUGUUCGAGACGCCCGCUGGAUUCACCCUUUUCAAGGUUCUGAAUAA